rnacentral:misc_RNA from 1 species
AAAAAAAGUAAAAUUUUGAACCCGCCCGGACCGUAUGCAUUUUCUUUCCCAUUGCGCUUUUGUGUUUCUCCGGGAGGAUAACCUCUAUUUUAAAAAUUCUUAACUUACCUCCAAAACUUCCUCUUAAACACGCCAAGGGAAUGUAAAGAAGUAAAGAGAGAAUGAUGAAAGUGAGAGCAGCUAUGGAAGAAGUAAUCAAUGAACUUACUGCCGAAGAAGAAGUAAAAGCAGUUAUGGAAAAAGAGAUCGGUGAACUUGCUAUCA